UUUCGAAUCAUUCACAAUGGGCGAAAGCCUGAUGGUGCGACGCCGCGUGAGGGAUGAAGGUCUUCGGAUUGUAAACCUCUGUCACUGGGGAGAAAACGCUUCAAUUUAACAAACUGAAGCCUGAUUUAACCCGGAGAGGAAGCAGUGGCUAACUCUGUGCCAGCAGCCGCGGUAAUACAGAGACUGCAAGCGUUAUUCGGAUUCACUGGGCGUAAAGGGUGCGCAGGCGGUUGGGUGUGUCAGAUGUGAAAUCCCGAGGCUCAACCUCGGAACUGCGUCUGAAACUACUCGACUAGAGUACUGGAGAGGGUAACGGAAUUCACGGUGUAGCAGUGAAAUGCGUAGAUAUCGUGAGGAACACCAGAGGCGAAGGCGGUUACCUGGACAGUUACUGACGCUCAGGCACGAAAGCAUGGGGAGCAAAAGGG
rnacentral:rRNA from 1 species